rnacentral:rRNA from 1 species
GAUGAACGCUGGCGGCGUGCCUAAUACAUGCAAGUCGAGCGAACGGACGAGAAGCUUGCUUCUCUGAUGUUAGCGGCGGACGGGUGAGUAACACGUGGAUAACCUACCUAUAAGACUGGGAUAACUUCGGGAAACCGGAGCUAAUACCGGAUAAUAUUUUGAACCGCAUGGUUCAAAAGUGAAAGACGGUCUUGCUGUCACUUAUAGAUGGAUCCGCGCUGCAUUAGCUAGUUGGUAAGGUAACGGCUUACCAAGGCAACGAUGCAUAGCCGACCUGAGAGGGUGAUCGGCCACACUGGAACUGAGACACGGUCCAAACUCCUACGGGAGGCAGCAGUAGGGAAUCUUCCGCAAUGGGCGAAAGCCUGACGGAGCAACGCCGCGUGAGUGAUGAAGGUCCUCGGAUCGUAAAACUCUGUUAUUAGGGAAGAACAUAUGUGUAAGUAACUGUGCACAUCUUGACGGUACCUAAUCAGAAAGCCACGGCUAACUACGUG